rnacentral:rRNA from 1 species
UACGUAGGUGACCAGCGUUGUCCGGAUUUAUUGGGCGUAAAGAGCUCGUAGGUGGUUCCGUCAGUCGGGUGUGAAAACUCUGGGCUCAACCCAGAGACGCCACCCGAUACUGCGGUGACUAGAGUCCGGUAGGGGAGUGCGGAAUUCCUGGUGUAGCGGUGAAAUGCGCAGAUAUCAGGAGGAACACCAACGGCGAAGGCAGCACUCUGGGCCGGUACUGACACUGAGGAGCGAAAGCGUGGGGAGCGAACAGG